UGUUAGCGGCGGACGGGUGAGUAACACGUGGGUAACCUGCCUGUAAGACUGGGAUAACUCCGGGAAACCGGGGCUAAUACCGGAUGGUUGUUUGAACCGCAUGGUUCAGACAUAAAAGGUGGCUUCGGCUACCACUUACAGAUGGACCCGCGGCGCAUUAGCUAGUUGGUGAGGUAACGGCUCACCAAGGCGACGAUGCGUAGCCGACCUGAGAGGGUGAUCGGCCACACUGGGACUGAGACACGGCCCAGACUCCUACGGGAGGCAGCAGUAGGGAAUCUUCCGCAAUGGACGAAAGUCUGACGGAGCAACGCCGCGUGAGUGAUGAAGGUUUUCGGAUCGUAAAGCUCUGUUGUUAGGGAAGAACAAGUGCCGUUCAAAUAGGGCGGCACCUUGACGGUACCUAACCAGAAAGCCACGGCUAACUACGUGCCAGCAGCCGCGGUAAUACGUAGGUGGCAAGCGUUGUCCGGAAUUAUUGGGCGUAAAGGGCUCGCAGGCGGUUUCUUAAGUCUGAUGUGAAAGCCCCCGGCUCAACCGGGGAGGGCAUUGGAAACUGGGGAACUUGAGUGCAGAAGAGGAGAGGGAAUUCCACGUGUAGCGUGAAAUGCGUAAGAUGU
rnacentral:rRNA from 1 species